rnacentral:rRNA from 1 species
UACGUAGGGGGCAAGCGUUGUCCGGAUUUAUUGGGCGUAAAGAGCGUGUAGGCGGCUUUACAGGUCCGUUGUGAAAACUCGAGGCUCAACCUCGAGACGCCGAUGGAAACCAUCGAACUAGAGUCCGGAAGAGGAGAGUGGAAUUCCUGGUGUAGCGGUGAAAUGCGCAGAUAUCAGGAAGAACACCCGUGGCUAAGGCGGCUCUCUAGUACGGUACUGACGCUGAGACGCGAAAGCGUGGGGAGCGAACAGG